rnacentral:rRNA from 1 species
UACGUAGGGUGCGAGCGUUAAUCGGAAUUACUGGGCGUAAAGGGUCCGUAGGCGGUGUGGCAAGUCGGAAGUGAAAUCUCAGGGCUUAACCCUGAGGCUGCUCCCGAAACUGCCGUGCUAGAGUGCGAGAGAGGCGAGUGGAAUUGCAGGUGUAGCGGUGAAAUGCGUAGAUAUCUGCAGGAACACCCGAGGCGAAAGCGGCUCGCUGGAUCGCAACUGACGCUGAGGGACGAAAGCUAGGGGAGCAAACAGG